CCCAUCCCGAACCCGGCAGUUAAGCCCGCCAGCGCCGAUGGUACUGGGGGGGCGACCCCCUGGGAGAGUAGGUCAUCGCCAAGG
rnacentral:rRNA from 1 species